rnacentral:lncRNA from 1 species
AGCAAAGGAUUAGGUACAUGGUCUUUGUCCUAUCUCAGCAGGAACUGCGGGGCUCUAACUUUCUGCCUGCUAGUUGGAGAUCACAGGAAGAAAAAGGAACAUUUUGAAAACCAUUCGUCUGCGAUGUGCCAAUCACUGGUUCUAUCUCAGGAUCAAGGCUACAGUAUUUCCCAAUAUUUUUAUGGAACCCGAUGAAGUGUUUUUAGGAUUUGGCUGCCCUGUGACCACUGUCUGGCCAAAUGAUGUCUAUGACUUUACCUACCCUACUUAUGCCUGUGGCAUUGUCAAUAAAGUAAGAAGAAACACUA